GUGCUCACUUAUGCAGCACAUAUACUAAAAUUGGAACGAUACAGACAAGAUUAGCAUGGCCCCUGCGCAAGAUGACACACAAAUUUGUGAAGUGUUCCAUAUUUUU
ensembl:snRNA U6 U6 spliceosomal RNA